AGGGAAUCUUCGGCAAUGGGGGGAACCCUGACCGAGCAACGCCGCGUGAGUGAAGAAGGUUUUCGGAUCGUAAAGCUCUGUUGUAAGAGAAGAACGGGUGUGAGAGUGGAAAGUUCACACUGUGACGGUAUCUUACCAGAAAGGGACGGCUAACUACGUGCCAGCAGCCGCGGUAAUACGUAGGUCCCGAGCGUUGUCCGGAUUUAUUGGGCGUAAAGCGAGCGCAGGCGGUUAGAUAAGUCUGAAGUUAAAGGCUGUGGCUUAACCAUAGUAUGCUUUGGAAACUGUUUAACUUGAGUGCAGAAGGGGAGAGUGGAAUUCCAUGUGUAGCGGUGAAAUGCGUAGAUAUAUGGAGGAACACCGGUGGCGAAAGCGGCUCUCUGGUCUGUAACUGACGCUGAGGCUCGAAAGCGUGGGGAGCAAACAGGAUUAGAUACCCUGGUAGUCCACGCCGUAAACGAUGAGUGCUAGGUGUUAGGCCCUUUCCGGGGCUUAGUGCCGCAGCUAACGCAUUAAGCACUCCGCCUGGGGAGUACGACCGCAAGGUUG
rnacentral:rRNA from 1 species